CACCCACAGAUCGUGGGUCGUGGGUCACAAACACCCACAGAUUCCAAAGAACUCUCUCUCUCUCUCUCUCUCUCUCUCUCUCUCUCUCUCUCUCUCUCUCCUCUCUCUCUCUCCUCUCCUCUCUCUCUCCUCUCCCCUCCUCUUUCCUCUCUCCUCUCCUCCUCUCUCUCCUCUCUCUCUCUAAUAGAUAGAUCAUUAAAAUGAUCUCACCUGUUCUUUUACCUUUCAUAAUGUGUCUACUGAAACUUUAAAGCCACACAUUGUCAGUGUCACAGCUCUGCUGGGGGCCUGCCAAGUGUCCCCUCCAGGCUCAGGCACCUGUGCUCCAUCUCUGGCUGGGACCAUCUGGCUGGGAGUAGUUCUUGGAAGAUUUGUUGAUUGACUGGUGAUGGGUCCUUAAAGAGAAUCCCUUGCCCUUUCUCAAGUAAAGGGAACUUGCUUCUAUUUGGCAGAGCAGUUCCCCAUGGGACCAGGUUCUCCUCAGAACCUCUGGAGGCACACAGAACGAUAUGCCCACUUGAACAAUAGUGCCAAAGACAGAUCUCAGCUUCAAGUAUUGUGGUAACCAAAUGGAAAUUCAAGACAGACAACUAGGGGACUUCCCACUUCACUGACCUCCACUGGGGGUAAAAGAAGACAGAAGACAGGGGGAUUUGGCUCAGUGGUUCUGCUGCCUGCCUUGCAAGCAAAAAGUCCCGAGUUCUAUCCCCGGUACCAAAAACAAACAAACAAAGAAGAGAGUUCACUUCAGGCAUCCAGGAUCCCAGCUCUUAACCUUGCUGCAGCUUCGUUUUGUGAACCAAUCAGUUC
rnacentral:lncRNA from 1 species